rnacentral:rRNA from 1 species
GUUCAAGAUACUAAGGGCACAUGGUGGAUGCCUUGGUGCUGGAAGUCGAUGAAGGACGUGGUCAGCUGCGAUAAGCUUCGGGUAGGUGCGACAACCUUUGAUCCGGAGAUUUCCGAAUGGGGAAACCCGGCUGGAGUCAUAUCCAGUCAUCUCAUACCCAAGUUGCUUGCAUAUUAAGUAUGAGAGGAGAAGUCGGCGAACUGAAACAUCUAAGUAGCCGGACAAGAGAAAGAAAUUCGAUUCCCUGAGUAGUGGCGAGCGAAACGGGAACAGCCCAAACCGUCGGUCCUCGGAUCGGCGGGGUUGUAGGAUCUGGUAUAAAGACCUAGUAGGGAUAAUAGAAGCAUCUGGAAAGAUGCGCCAUAGAAGGUGACAGCCCUGUAUGUGAAAUCCUGAAAAGUCCGACCGGACACCUGAGUAGCACGGGACACGUGAAACCCUGUGUGAAUCUGCGGGGGCCAUCCCGCAAGGCUAAACACUUUCCAGCAACCGAUAGUGAACAAGUACCGUGAGGGAAAGGUGAAAAGUACCCCGGCGAGGGGAGUGAAAUAGAACCUGAAACCGUGUGCCUACAAGCUGUUCGAGGACUAUGCAUGAAUCAGUCUGAGAGCGUGCCUUUUGAGUAAUGAGCCAGCGAGUUGUGAUAACCGGCGAGGUUAAGGGGUUAUACCCGGAGCCGCAGCGAAAGCGAGUCUUAACAGGGCGUUCAGUCGGUUGUUGCAGACCCGAAACCAGGUGAGCUACCCAUGGGCAGGGUGAAGCGGAGGUAAAACUUCGUGGAGGCCCGAACCUUCUAGCGUUGAAAAGCUAUUGGAUGACCUGUGGGUAGGGGUGAAAAGCCAAACGAACCUGGAGAUAUCUGGUUCUCCCCGAAAUUUCUUUAAGGAAAGCGUCAUGUGCUGAACCACGGGGGUAAGCCUCUGGACCGAUGCGGGCGGAGAGAUCUGUACCAACUCGGACUAAAGUGAGAAUACCGUGGGGUGUAGCAUGGCAGUGAGACUGCGAGGGAUAAGCUCCGUAGUCGAGAGGGAAACAGCCCAGACCUACAGCUAAGGUCCCCAAACACGACUAAGUGGGAAAGGAGGUGGGAUCUCAUUGACAACCAGGAGGUUGGCUUAGAAGCAGCCACCCUUAAAAGAAAGCGUAACAGCUCACUGGUCAAGAGAUCCUGCGCCGAAAAUGUAACGGGGCUAAGUCGUGUACCGAAGCUUAGGACUAUGCUUGUCAUAGUGGUAGGGGAGCGUUCUAUGGGAGUUCUAGCGUAACCGUGAGGAUACGUGGUGGCCCAUAGAAGUGAGAAUGCUGGCAUGAGUAGCGAUAAGAAAGGUGAGAAUCCUUUCCGCCGAAAGAGUGAGGUUUCCUGGGCCAGGCUCGUCCUCCCAGGGUUAGCCGGACCUAAGCCGAGGCCGAAAGGCGUAGGCGAUGGACAGCGGGUUAAUAUUCCCGCGCCACCAAUAUGUGUUGAAGCAGCAGGGACGCCUGAGGGUAGGUAGGAACGUGAUUGGUUGUACGUAUCCGGGACAUAGGCGAGUCCGUAGUGGCUUGCUGAAGGGAACCGGCGACGGUGCAGUCUGACGACGGCCGGAGCUAUCGGUCCCUCGGGACGAGAAAAGCUGUCUGUGGAGCAUAUUGGUGACCGUACCGCAAACCGACACAGGUACUCAGGGUGAGAAACCUAAGGCGUGCGAGAUAACUACCGUUAAGGAACUAGGCAAAAUCACUCCGUAACUUCGGGAGAAGGAGUGCCCUGGCUGGUGAGACUACUUGCUUGUUAAGCUGGCUGGGGCCGCAGCGAAGAGGCCCAUGCGACUGUUUACCAAAAACACAGGACUAUGCUAAGUCGUAAGACGACGUAUAUGGUCUGACGCGUGCCCGGUGCUGGAAGGUUAAGGAAGGGUGUUCGGCUUCGGCCAAAGCUCUCGACUGAAGCCCCAGUGAACGGCGGCCGUAACUAUAACGGUCCUAAGGUAGCGAAAUUCCUUGUCGGGUAAGUUCCGACCCGCACGAAAGGCUUAACGAGUGGAGCACUGUCUCAACGAGGGACCCGGCGAAAUUGAAGUAUGCGUGAAGAUGCGCAUUACCCGCAGCAGGACAAAAAGACCCCGUGGAGCUUUACUGUAGCUUGACAUUGGGUUAGGGUGCAACUUGUGUAGGAUAGCUGGGAGACUAGGAAGCGUGGACGCUAGUUUGCGUGGAGUCGCCGUUGAAAUACCAGCCUGGUUCUACUUUGACCCUAACCCGCCCUUUCACAGAGGGGGGGACAGUGACUGGUGGGCAGUU